UUACCAGGCCUUGACAUGCAGAGAACUUUCCAGAGAUGGAUUGGUGCCUUCGGGAACUCUGACACAGGUGCUGCAUGGCCGUCGUCAGCUCGUGUCGUGAGAUGUUGGGUUAAGUCCCGUAACGAGCGCAACCCUUGUCCUUAGUUACCAGCACGUUAUGGUGGGCACUCUAAGGAGACUGCCGGUGACAAACCGGAGGAAGGUGGGGAUGACGUCAAGUCAUCAUGGCCCUUACGGCCUGGGCUACACACGUGCUACAAUGGUCGGUACAAAGGGUUGCCAAGCCGCGAGGUGGAGCUAAUCCCAUAAAACCGAUCGUAGUCCGGAUCGCAGUCUGCAACUCGACUGCGUGAAGUCGGAAUCGCUAGUAAUCGUGAAUCAGAAUGUCACGGUGAAUACGUUCCCGGGCCUU
rnacentral:rRNA from 1 species